rnacentral:rRNA from 1 species
UACAGAGGUCUCAAGCGUUGUUCGGAUUCAUUGGGCGUAAAGGGUGCGUAGGCGGCCAGGUAGGUCUGGUGUGAAAACUCGAGGCUUAACCUCGAGAUGUCAUCGGAAACCAUCUGGCUAGAGUCCGGAAGAGGAGAGUGGAAUUCCUGGUGUAGCGGUGAAAUGCGCAGAUAUCAGGAAGAACACCAAUGGCGAAAGCAGCUCUCUGGGACGGUACUGACGCUGAGACGCGAAAGCGUGGGGAGCGAACAGG